rnacentral:rRNA from 1 species
UACAGAGGUCCCAAGCGUUGUUCGGAUUCAUUGGGCGUAAAUGGUGCGUAGGUGGCGCCGUAAGUCAGGUGUGAAAUUUCGGAGCUUAACUCCGAAACUGCAUUUGAUACUGCGGUGCUUGAGGACUGGAGAGGAGACUGGAAUUUACGGUGUAGCAGUGAAAUGCGUAGAUAUCGUAAGGAAGACCAGUGGCGAAGGCGGGUCUCUGGACAGUUCCUGACGCUGAGGCACGAAGGCCAGGGGAGCAAACGGG